GCAUCUUACAUGAAUCUCAAGGCUCAUUUGGAAUGAGGAAAACAGACUACGCCGUACGUCGUGUCAAUAUCUGUCGUACUACAUUUAUAAGUUUUUUAAUUUCUCAAAGCAUCAAUAUGAAACCGAUUGUCUUCCUACUUUGGCUCCUGUUCACUGGAUUCGCUGAGGGCUACAAGUUGGCACAGCAGUCCUCCAAUGAAUUGGCUGCCCUGACGCCUGACCAGUGCGAUGAGAAUGACUCCCAGUCGAAACACUCAUCCGAUGCUCCAAAGAAAAACCCUCUCAAGAUGGACGGGAAGGGCAAGGUAAAGGCCUUCAGCAUUGCCCAGAAGGCGGCCAAGGAGGCAAAGGAUGCCUCCGAUGCCCAGAUGGAGGCCGGCGAGGCGGCAGCCCGCCAGGUGAAGCAGCAGCUGGCCGACAAGGCGCAGGCGGCUGCCAAGGCGGCAGAAGCGGCGCUGGCGGGCAAACAGCAAAUUGUGGAGCAGCUGGAGGCCGAGGUGCGGGAGGGAGAGCUGGUGGUUCAGGAGGAGACCACCCUGCUGCAGACAACCCAGGCCACCAGCGCUUCCGCUGGUCUGGCCGCCAAGCAGGCGGCGGAUCAGCUGAAAACCAUUACGCAGGCGGUGAAGAACGCCCAGGAAAACGUGGUUAACUCGGAGCUCGUUGCCAACGGAGCCCAGCAGGAGCUGGCAGAGAAGCAGCAGCUUGUGGAUGCGGCCAAGAAGCGGGUGGAGCUGCUGCUCCGUCAGUUGGAAGUGGCUCGGGCGGAUUACAAGACAACCAAGAACGCCGCCGAAAAGGCAACCUGCGCCGCCCAGGAAGCCAGGCAGAGGGCCACUCGGGAGCGAAGGAGGGCGGAACUGAGGCACUUGCUACGUCUGAAGAGGGGACGUACCCACUAAGAUUACUCUACCAUAUACUUCUUUUGGGGAGAAAGAGUCGUUAACUAACUAAGAGACCGCGGGGCGUAUACUUAAUACACUUCGAGCAAACUUCCUACUAACGCCUCCGUGUUCACACGCGGAUCCGCGAGGAAGCCAACAAUCAUCGGACACGGUCUUUCGUCAUAUUCAAUCCCACCCGGAGCAGGCGUUUAAAGCGUCUCAUGGCAAUUAGAGGCUCUUCCAUAAUUGCGGCUACAAAUUAUCCAAUCGAGCAGCCUGGUAGCAUUGACCCAGCACCAUUAUUGUUUGUGCAUGUGCAACGAAAACCAUGAGCCAACGGGUUUGCACUUUCUUCGGCGACCCGACCAGCUCGUUUAUAAAUACAUGGCGCCUCCGGUGGCCAACUCUCAAUCGUCGCCGAGUCUCCACCGGAUUUACUAGGCCCACUGCCG